rnacentral:rRNA from 1 species
GCGGGAAAAGCUCAAAUUUAAAAUCUGGNGGUCUUUGGCCAUCCSAGUUGUAAUCUASAGAAGCGUCUUCCGCGCCGGACCGUGCACAAGUCUCCUGGAAUGGAGCGUCAUARAGGGUGAGAAUCCCGUCUUUGGCACGGACGCGUCGGUGCUAUGCGAUGCGCUCUCAAAGAGUCGAGUUGUUUGGGAAUGCAGCUCAAAAUGGGUGGUGAACUCCAUCUAAAGCUAAAUAUUGGCGAGAGACCGAUAGCGAACAAGUACCGUGAGGGAAAGAUGAAAAGCACUUUGGAAAGAGAGUGAAAGAGUACGUGAAAUUGUUGAAAGGGAAACGCUUGAAGUCRGNCGCGUCGACCGAGACUCAGCCUCGCCUUGGCUUGGUGUGCUUCUCGGCUUGAUGGGUCAGCAUCAAUUUUGGGCCUUGGAUAAUGACAAAGGAAAGGUGGCAUCUUUCGGGGUGUGUUAUAGUCUUUUGUCGAAUACAAGGGUCAGGAUUGAGGAACUCAGCACGCACCUUGUAGGUGUCGGGGCCUUUGGCUCACGCUAACGUGCUUAGGAUGCUGGCAUAAUGGCUUUAAACGACCCGUCUUGAAACACGGACCAAGGAGUCUAACAUGUGCGCGAGUGUUUGGGUGGAAAACCCAUGCGCGUAAUGAAAGUGAAAGUUGGGACCUCUGUCGUGGAGGGCACCGACGCCCGGACCAGAGCUUCUGUGACGGAUCUGCGGNAGAGCGUGCAUGUUGGGACCCGAAAGAUGGUGAACUAUGCCUGAAUAGGGUGAAGCCARAGGAAACUCUGGUGGAGGCUCGUAGCGAUUCUGACGUGCARAUCGAUCGUCAAAUU